CGUAGGCGGCUUGGCAAGUCGAGUGUGAAAUCCCUCGGCUCAACUGAGGAACUGCAAGCGAUACUGCCGAGCUUGAGUCCGGGAGAGGAAAGCAGAAUUCCCAGUGUAGCGGUGAAAUGCGUAGAUAUUGGGAGGAACACCGGUGGCGAAGGCGGCUUUCUGGACCGGUACUGACGCUGAGGCGCGAAAGCCAGGGGAGCAAACA
rnacentral:rRNA from 1 species